rnacentral:rRNA from 1 species
GAUGAACGCUAGCGGCAGGCCUAACACAUGCAAGUCGAGGGGUAGCAGGAUUAAGCUUGCUUAAUUGCUGACGACCGGCGCACGGGUGCGUAACGCGUAUGCAACCUACCUUAUACUGGGGUAUAGCCCGGAGAAAUUCGGAUUAAUCCCCCAUAGUACUAAUGAAUCGCAUGGUUUAUUAGUUAAAGCAUUGCGGUAUAAGAUGGGCAUGCGUCAUAUUAGCUAGAUGGUGAGGUAACGGCUCACCAUGGCUACGAUAGGUAGGGGGCCUGAGAGGGUGGGCCCCCACACUGGGACUGAGACACGGACCAGACUCCUACGGGAGGCAGCAGUGAGGAAUAUUGGUCAAUGGGCGCAAGCCUGAACCAGCCAUGCAGCGUGCAGGAAGAAUGCCCUAUGGGUUGUAAACUGCUUUUAUUUGGGAAUAAACCUCUUUACGUGUAGAGAGCUGAAGGUACCAAAUGAAUAAGCACCGGCUAACUCCGUGCCAGCCGCCGCCGUAA